CCAAAACAAACCCAAUAAUCUUCAACUUCUAAACAAUACCCGAUACAAACGCAGACGCCUUACCCUUCUCUCUCUUUCUCUGUCUCUCUACCCUUCUCCUUCCCCAAAACCCAAACGCCAAUCAGAUCUAACAGACCGCCUCUCAUGGGACAUUGGGACAAAUCAGAAUCAUCUAGCCCAGAAUCAUCUGGCCGUUGGGAGGACGAUAUGUUGUUGCCGUUGGUUGUAGAGAAAAGCUCAGAAAUUAGGCCCACUCUGUGAUUUCUUUUUACCACCGUCAGAGACCAGUCUUUCUCAGACACUAUUACCAAGUGCAAAGGCAGAUAUUAAUGUGGAGAAGGUUUUCUUUUCAAAAGCAAGGGAUAUUAAAUGAAGGCUUGCUGAUACUAAUUCCAAGAUUGAGGUGAUUUUGUAGAUUUCCAUGCACCAAUGUAUAUCUUACAUGCCCACAUUGCUUAUCACGAACCAAGAACUUGUGCUACAAAUAACAAAAUAAUGUUAUGAACAAUUUUAAUGUUGUAGCUUCAUUGAUGGUAUGUACUUAAAAUGAUUUCAAGCAGCUUCAUUGAUGGCAUGUACUUAAAUGAUUUCAAGCAAAUGCUUCAAAUAUUGAACCUUACUGUAUUUUAAAUUUUUUCCAUAGAGAGUGGCUUGGCUGAGCCUAAUAGCACUGUUUCGAAUA